GUGCUCACUUUGGUAGUACAUAUAGUAAACUUGGAGCAAGACAGAGACCAUCAAUGGCAUGGUCCUUACACAAGGAUGAAAAGGCAAAUUCAUGAAGAGAUCCAUGUUUUU